UGUUCUGUGGCUUAGUUGGUUAGAGCGCCGGUCCAGCGAAUAAGGAGUCUUGGGUUCAAAUCCCACCAGAAUGC
rfam:Aedes albopictus isolate Foshan contig18101, whole genome shotgun sequence.